rnacentral:antisense_RNA from 1 species
AAUUAUGGUGGGCUGGCGGGGGCGCUUCGGCGCGCCGGUUUCCUUCUAACCCGGUAUUGCUAACCCCGUCGGUUCACCACCCUA